GAAAGAUUGAAAAUAAGCUUGAGAGGAAAGAAGAAGCUUGAAAGGGAAUAUAAGGGUUUGAGAGGCUAAGGAAAGAUUGAAAAUAAGCUUGAGAGGAAAGAAGAAGCUUGAAAGGGAAUAUAAGGGUUUGAGAGGCUAAGAAAAGAUUGAAAAUAAGCUUGAGAGGAAAGAAGAAGCUUGAAAGGGAAUAUAAGGGUUUGAGAGGCUAGGAAAAGAUUGAAAAUAAGCUUGAGGGAAAAGAAGAAGCUUGAAAGGGAAUAUAAGGGUUUGAGAGGCUAAGGAAAGAUUGAAAAUAAGCUUGAGAGGAAAGAAGAAGCUUGAAAGGGAAUAUAAGGGUUUGAGAGGCUAGGGAAAGAUUGAAAAUAAGCUUGAGGGAAAAGAAGAAGCUUGAAAGGGAAUAUAAGGGUUUGAGAUGCUAAGGAAAGAUUGAAAAUAAGCUUGAGGGAAAAGAAGCAGCUUGAAAGGGAACAUAAAGGUUUGAGAUGCUAAGGAAAGGUUGAAAAUAAGCUUGAGGGAAAAGAAGAAGCUUGAAAGGGAAUAUAAGGGUUUGAGAGGCUAAGGAAAGAUUGAAAAUAAGCUUGAGGGAAAAGAAGAAGCUUGAAAGGGAAUAUAAGGGUUUGAGAGGCUAAGGAAAGAUUGAAAAUAAGCUUGAGAGGAAAGAAGAAGCUUGAAAGGGAAUAUAAGGGUUUGAGAGGCUAAGGAAAGAUUGAAAAUAAGCUUGAGGGAAAAGAAGAAGCUUGAAAGGGAAUAUAAGGGUUUGAGAGGCUAAGGAAAGAUUGAAAAUAAGCUUGAGGGAAAAGAAGAAGCUUGAAAGGGAAUAUAAGGGUUUGAGAGGCUAAGGAAAGAUUGAAAAUAAGCUUGAGAGGAAAGAAGAAGCUUGAAAGGGAAUAUAAGGGUUUGAGAGGCUAAGGAAAGAUUGAAAAUAAGCUUGAGGGAAAAGAAGAAGCUUGAAAGGAAUAUAAGGGUUUGAGAGGCUAAGGAAAGAUUGAAAAUAAGCUUGAAAGAAAAGAAGCUUGAAAUGGACUCUAAAGGUUUGAGAGGCUAGGGAAAGGUUGAAAAUAAGCUUAAGAGGAAAGAGAGAAAAGUUCCAGGGCUUAUUUUUUCUUCUUUUUUUUCAUCUUAUUUUUCUUUCUAUUUUUUCAUCUUUUUAUUUUUAUUUUCAUCUAUUAUUUAUUUUCUUUAUUUUUUCAUCUUUAUUUUUACAUCUUUAUUUUUUCAUCUUAAUUUUUACAUCUUUAUUUUUUCAUCCUUAUUUUUCAUCUCUAUUUU